UACGGAGGGUGCAAGCAUUAAUCGGAUUUAUUGGGCGUAAAGGGCGCGUAGGCGGGCCUGUAAGUCAGAUGUGAAAUCCCGAAGCUCAACUUCGGAAUAGCAUUUGAAACUACAAGUCUAGAGGGUAGGCGGAGAAAGUAGAAUUCCACAAGUAGCGGUGGAAUGCGUAGAUAUGUGGAAGAAUACCAGUGGCGAAGGCGACUUUCUAGCUUAUACCUGACGCUGAGGCGCGAAAGCAAGGGGAUCAAACAGG
rnacentral:rRNA from 1 species